rnacentral:tRNA from 1 species
GGUAGUAUAGCUCAAUGAUAGAGUUUUGGCCUAGCAUGCACAAAUCCUUGGGUUCAAUUCCCAGUACUGUAG